rnacentral:tRNA from 9 species
CGGGAUGUAGCUCAGUCUGGUCAAGAGCGUGCGCCUCGGGCGCGCAAGGUCGCUGGUUCGAAUCCAGUCAUCCCGA